rnacentral:rRNA from 1 species
GAUGAACGCUGGCGGCGUGCUUAACACAUGCAAGUCGAACGGGAUCCAAGGGGUGCUUGCACUUUUUGGUGAGAGUGGCGAACGGGUGAGUAACACGUGAGUAACCUGUCCUUUUCUUUGGGAUAAGCAUUCGAAAGGGUGUUUAAUACCUUAUGUUCUGUCUGCCUCGCAUGGGGUGGGUGGGAAAGGCUUUGGCCGGAUUUGGGUGGGCUCGCGGUCUAUCAGCUUGUUGGUGGGGUGAUGGCUUACCAAGGCUUUGACGGGUAGCCGGCCUGAGAGGGUGGUCGGUCACAUUGGGACUGAGAUACGGCAGACUCCUGCGGGAGGCAGCAGUGGGGGAUAUUGCACAAUGGGCGAAAGCCUGAUGCAGCGACGCCGCGUGGGGGAUGAAGGCCUUCGGGUUGUAAACUUCUUUUGCUCUGAACAAGGCAUGCCAGUGGGUGUGUUGAGUGUAGGGGUUGAUUAGCGCCGGCUAACUACGUG